rnacentral:rRNA from 1 species
UACGAAGGGGGCUAGCGUUGCUCGGAAUCACUGGGCGUAAAGGGUGCGUAGGCGGGUUUUUAAGUCAGGGGUGAAAUCCUGGAGCUCAACUCCAGAACUGCCUUUGAUACUGAAGAUCUUGAGUCCGGGAGAGGUGAGUGGAACUGCGAGUGUAGAGGUGAAAAUUCGUAGAUAUUCGCAAGAACACCAGUGGCGAAGGCGGCUCACUGGCCCGGUACUGACGCUGAGGCACGAAAGCGUGGGGAGCAAACAGGG